rnacentral:pre_miRNA from 1 species
CAUGUACUCCCUCCGUUCGGAAUUACUUGUCUCGGAAAUGGAUGUAUCUAGAACUAAAAUACGUCUAGAUACAUCCAUUUCUGCGACAAGUAAUUUCGAACGGAGGGAGUAUAUA